CCUGCUGCUUCGGCUCCGCCCCAUCGCUUCCCCCCUGGUCUCAGCUCGGACUCCCGCCUGCUUCCACCCCACCCCCUCUCCUUCCACAGGGCUCUGCCCCCAGCCUUCCAGGUAACCCGGCGAUGGACAGAGAGGACUCGCCGUGCAAGCUCAAGCCGCUGUUGCUCCCGUGAUUCAUGCUCCUGUUGUGGGAGGUGGAUGGGUCAGCGAGGGGAACCAUGGCGGAGUUAGGAGUCAGCCCGUGUAACUGGAGUUGCAAUGGUUCCAACACCGACGAGGUAAACUCCUAUUCCCUGCAGGCAGCCGUGACCCUAACAUCCGUGGUGGCGUUUAUCAUCCUAGUGACCAUCUUCGGCAACGUGCUCGUAGUGAUCGCUGUGUUCACCAGCAGAGGUUUGCGAGCGCCCCAGAACCUCUUCCUGGUCUCCCUGGCGUCCGCCGAUAUUCUGGUGGCCACUUUAGUCAUGCCUUUCUCUCUGGCCAACGAACUGAUGGGCUGCUGGUACUUUGGUAGGGUUUGGUGCGAGAUCUACCUGGCCCUGGACGUUUUAUUCUGCACCUCGUCCAUCGUGCACCUGUGCGCUAUCAGUUUAGACAGGUACUGGUCUAUCACGCAGGCCAUCGAGUACAACCUGAAGAGAACCCCCAGGAGGAUCAAGUGCAUCAUCGUCACGGUAUGGGUGAUCGCUGCCGUUAUCUCCUUCCCGCCGCUGAUCUCUAUUGGCAAGGAGACCGGCCUCCGGGAGAACCCCCAGUGUAAGAUCAACGAUGAGCAAUGGUACAUCAUCUCCUCUUGUAUCGGCUCUUUCUUCGCCCCGUGCAUCAUCAUGAUCCUUGUCUACGUGAGGAUCUACCAGAUCGCCAAGUUGAGAACCAGGCAUCCACCUGGCCGGAAGACCAACGGCGAGCUGAACGCCAAGCAGAAUGGCCUGCGCCCGUCAGCAUCGCCGACCGGGGAGCGGAACGGCACCGGCAAAGGGUGCCAGAGCAAAGGGGCGGAGGUCAACGGCCUGGAGCAAGAAGAGUCUUCAUCCUCCGACCAGCGGGACAAUCACUGCACGGCCAAGCCCAAGGUAGAGGCGCGGCCCAAGGCCACGGGGGUGGUGCAUUCGGUGCAAGGCAAAGCGGUGAGCGGGCUGCAGAGGCCGGAGAACGGGAGCAGUCCCAAGGCGGGGCGCUGGAAGGGACGGCACAACCGCGAGAAGAGGUUCACCUUCGUGCUGGCGGUGGUGAUUGGGGUCUUCGUGGUCUGCUGGUCCCCCUUCUUCUUCACCUACUCACUCAGCGCCAUCUGCGCCGAGAGCUGCGCCGUGCCCGACACUCUCUUCAAAUUCUUCUUCUGGUUCGGAUACUGCAACAGCUCGCUGAACCCACUCAUCUACACCAUCUUCAACCACGACUUCAGGAAGGCUUUCAAAAAAAUCCUUUGCAGGACGAAUAGGGCCCAGAAAGUCUGAGGAGCGAAGCUGGGCGCCCAAGCAGAGAUUGUGGGUCCUUUUUUUCCCUGUUCCUACUCUACCUUUGUAUAUUUAUGAAUGUGAGUUUGAUUUCAGAAUAAAAGGGAAUGUUGUGGUUUUUUUUUUGCAUUAACGUCUCUUUAUCAAUCUCACGGUAGUUCUCACUCCGAGACGAGUCAGACCAGCCCCAUAGAUCGUCGCUGAGCUGGCAUCAAUGAUCCCAGACACACUGGGACUUAGUAACUCUAUAAAGUCCUCUUUUCCGCCGUUCUCGGCUCAGCAACAGGUCUGUCGCUGUUUCCCAUCUCACAAGGCGACCAAGAGCCAGUAACAGAGUCUGUCCGCUCGCCCCUAUGGGAGACAAAAUUAGCUUUCUAGCCUUAGCCUAGAAGCGAACUGUACCUUUAAGAUCAAUCAAUAUCGGGCCGCCCCGUGUAGCGAGGAGACUUCUUAUUGUCUCCCUCGGGAACACAGGACAAACGUCCAAUGCACACAAGAUAAGCCACCUGUUGGUAAAAUACCUCGCCACUUAAAAAUGCACAAGCCCUUUUGUCGAUCAACAAACUUUAUCAAUUUUCGGAGUAGAUUCUGACAAUGUCGGCUAAAAAUAUUGGCAAUAUGUUGCCCCUGCAAGUCCCCGCUGAGCUCUCGCACAUGCUGAGUCGCUUUGCUCGUUUUGAUUACUUGUCAGAUUCGAACACGCACAAGACGAUAAGUUAUCUAAAAGUCUAUCAAUCUUAAUGCUUAUAUCUCCAUUAGUCAGGGCAUCGAAUCAAUGCACUAAACUAGCUUGAUCGACAUCGCAUCUUUAACAAGCGUUAUCGGUUGGACCUCGAAUCAGGUUAAAAGUUGGGGGACAAGCUUGGUGGUGAGGCUGGUUUCAUGGAGUGUCUUACAGGAGAGCAAGAGGGGUGCAGUGAUUGGGAAAACAGGGCACAAUUUUAAAAUCCAAGUUUUAAUUUAACAGGUGAUAAUGUAGCUAAACUGACCAUCGUUUUUUAUGAACUCUGAAAUCAGUUCACUAAGUUGAGUAUGUUUUGUUUCAAUUGUCAACUAUGCUGUGAAAGAAAUGAAUUUGGAAAUUGGCAAGCUUUGUGUGAAUAGUGCAGCAAAUUUAGCUGCGGCCGUUUAAUCAUUUCCCCUUUAAUUUUUCCCAUUCUGGAAUUGUAUUGUGACAAUGUGAAUUAGAAUGAAAUUCAACCCUGUCUUUCAUUUGAAAUUAACAAACAAUUCUACAUUUUCUCCAGUUCUCUCACACACAGAAAGAUAAAUCUGAACCUUUGCAGGGCUAGUGGUGGAAUGAACAACAAGCUGAGGAGUUAAGCCUUCAGUAGAGUGAAGACAAAAGUCUUGAGGAGGAUUUUCAAGCCAGGCAGGAGCUACAUUCUCCACAGAGAUCUCUGCCAUUUACCGUAAUGGUGGCAUGUUGUGAAAUGAAGAGAAGCUAGAAGCUGAGUGGCCUCAGUAGACUUGAUUGAUGAAGAACACCUCGUGAAGGUGGUGUCCCUGUGUAGAAUUACUAAAAGGAAGCUGUGUAAUAGAGCCAGACCAAAGCUGCCAGCCUCAAGAGUUUUCUUCAUUUACUUGGGGGACAAACCUCUCCACAGCAUUCUUCUGUUCCUGGAUGUCAUACUCGGAGUGUUUCAUUGUAAACUAAGAAUAUAGGACAUGCAAUGCUUUGAAGUCACAAAAUUAUUACAGCUAUUAAUCUGUAACCAGUGUUGACCUAUGAUUAACCAAGUAUUAUAAUGUAGGCAAACCUCAUGCUGACGGGCAUGAAGGUCCAGUGGUAAUGUAGCUCUGUGGAUACAUGUUUUGACCAAUACACAAGGCUCUGCUGCCUUGUCUGCUG